rnacentral:rRNA from 1 species
UACCAGACUCCUACGGGAGGCAGCAGUGGGGAAUAUUGCACAAUGGGGGAAACCCUGAUGCAGCAACGCCGCGUGAGUGAAGAAGUAUUUCGGUAUGUAAAGCUCUAUCAGCAGGGAAGAAGAAAGACGGUACCUGACUAAGAAGCCCCGGCUAACUACGUGCCAGCAGCCGCGGUAAUACGUAGGGGGCAAGCGUUAUCCGGAUUUACUGGGUGUAAAGGGGGCGCAGACGGCGAUGCAAGCCAGGAGUGAAAGCCUGGGGCCCAACCCCGGGACUGCUCUUGGAACUGCGUGGCUGGAGUGCAGGAGGGGCAGGCGGAAUUCCUGGUGUAGCGGUGAAAUGCGUAGAUAUCAGGAGGAACACCGGUGGCGAAGGCGGCCUGCUGGACUGCAACUGACGUUGAGGCCCGAAAGCGUGGGGAGCAAACAGGAUUAGAUACCCCUGUA